AAUUAUCAAAAACCUUUUUCUGCUUUUGCUGAAAAAGGAUUUUUGGAUUUGGAGGUUCAAUGCUUGCCUUUCAUCUUGGAAAGUGAGCUCCUCUUAAAUGAAUUAGUGGGGGUCUGCUUUGCUGGUCCUUGACGUGAUAAGAUGUUUCUACGUUUUGGAUUUAGCACUGUCCCUUUGGAUGCCUGCUCCUAACUGUCCCAUGGACAACGAUGGUGCUCUGGUCUUUGCCGUCUACUUUGGCGGGAGAGGCUGGUCCCACAAAAGAAAACC
rnacentral:misc_RNA from 1 species